GAGGCGAACGCGACCGAGCUGAACCAAACGGAGCCAAACCAUGGACCCCCAGGACUGCACGUGUGCCGCCGGUGACUCCUGCUCCUGUGCCGGGUCCUGCAAGUGCAAGAACUGCCGCUGCCGGAGCUGUCGCAAGAGCUGCUGCUCCUGCUGCCCCGCAAGCUGCAGCAACUGUGCCAAGGGCUGCGUGUGCAAGGAGCCGGCUAGCAGCAAGUGCAGCUGCUGCCACUGAGCUGCUCACCUCUGCCUGUAAAUAGCCAGCAUGCUUCAGGGAUGGGGGGGUGGGGGGCACAAAAAAGCCUAUUUUUUCAUAUUUUGUAUCUUCUGUACCGGUAGUGAAACUGGAUGGAAAUAAAGGAGUUU